UGAACGAACAAACAACGAGGUGGGGUUUUUCACCGCACCGAAGCAAGUGCAAUUGAUUGCCACUAGUGGAUCAAACAAGGGAAGGCAGUAAUAAAACUAAUAUAAAAAUGUUGCGCCACACUUCUGGCCGCUCGAGUGUGCUUGAGCACUCGCUCUGUUCGUCUGUCUGUCUCUCUCUCUCUCACUCCCAAAGAGUAUAAAAGUGAGUUUACUGAAAAAAAGGAGCACGAAAUAGGUGGAUACAACGGUUGGUCUGUUGGAUUUUACUUGCACACGGUUGGAGCAAAACUUCAACCCCGAUCGGCAGUGAAGUCCUUUCGGCGUGGCACCGGGAAAGGAAAGGAUGAAAAGCGCAACAAAGUAAUCCGUUGGCAAAACAAAGUUCACAUUGGAAGGAGGCGGUUUUGACAGGGUUGUGAGCGGCGGUGCAAGGAGGUGGAAAACAAAACAAAAAAAAGGUCUCAGGACAGUGAGAAGUAGGUCAGAUGGAAGGGAAAAGUCAGCUUGUUUCUGUUUUCAUCUGUUCGAGUUCCGGAAGGGCGCAGUCGGGCAGGUGAGGCGACAUCUGACGUAAUACGGACACAUUUUAAAGCUCAUCCUCACACCUGGCAGGAAGACAACGCUUCCGAUGCGCCGUCUCGGUCCCAAGAUAAAUUAACGCUAAAUUUUGAUGCAGCAGCAGCAGCAGCAGCAGCCGACUUGGAUGACGCUGGCGCAGAUGUGGAACUUUAAUGCUGCUGCAGAGAGCGUUUACCGCAGCCGGAAGCUGCCCCCGCCCCAUCCCAGCAUUCAUUUUUGGAGCGAACAUAUUCAUGACGAUUUGAUUCAGUAAACACAACCGAAGCAUUCGAAGAAAUCGGAGACACACAUUACACAUCCAACCACAAGACGACAAGAGGAGCAGUAAAAUGGCCGAAGAAGCCGCCCACAAAUGGAACGAUACAGUAUGAAAGCUGAAAGGAUUCGUGAGAACCGAGUGGUUCACAGGACCGACCAGGGAAGGCGAGAGAGCAAACCCGUACGCUGGCCCGCCCGGAAAGAAGAGAAAACCAUUUAGAGGUGUGCAUCAAUGGCGUUGUGCAGGGAGGUUACAGCUUUUUCCUACGAAACAGUGCAAUGAAUGCUUCAAGACACUCGAAACUCGAAAUGUGAACAACGACAACUAAACGUUGUUUCCAUCGUCAUUACUUCCACGUGCAUCAUAGCAACCCAACAGCAUACAUGUGGUUGCAUACGUGGGAUCUCGAAACUUCAGUCGUUGCUAUGGUGUGCCGUUACCAUUUGUUACCGGAAUGACAACACCACAAAGGUACACGAUUGAGAGUGCGCUGAGUUCCAAGUGUUGUUGAAACCCGGCAGAAGCAGCAGCAGCAGUAGCAGCAGCAGCAGCAGCAGUAGCAAGUUGUCGGUAAAACUUCCUCUCCAAUGCCAACGCACCUCGUCGAAUCUGUCUCGCCUUGGUUUGGCGAAGCGAAAUCUAAUCGUCCCGCACUAGGAUCGUGUUCCAAAUGGGUAAGUUACUACUAGCCGUCUAACUUCCAGCAGCUGCAAAUGGAUGCUUCUGCGAAUUGUACCGCCCCGCCCCCGUUCGUUGGAGUGUUUGCGGUCAUGGUCGAAGCAGAUCGAAAGAGGUGGUGCAGGGUGCAGGUGAAAAUUUACCGUCCACAAUACAGAACGCACGCUAACGAGUGCCAUUAUCGUAGUAGCCCGAAAAUGUUUCAACCAGUUCCAUGGCCGAGGUCCGAGUUGUCGAAAAAAAAAGAAGCGGGCUAAGAGGUUAGUGUCAGCGUUUCCGGGGGAGCUUGGCUCAACUCAGCUAGAACGUAAAAAUCAAUUUCUCCAUCCUGAUGGAAGCUUUUCAUCACCCAUCAGUGCCCAAGUCGUAACAUUGCACACACACACGCUUAAGGGGUUGAGAAGUAUCAAGAGAGUGGCUCAUACUCCAAACUGGCUUGUAUCCUUGCACGGAAUAGAUGCUGACGUGCGCGCACAGUAUAAGCUAUUUCUCGGUUGAGCGUUUGAUUACUGAUCGGGGAAGUUUUUGGGCAGCCAUAGAAUCACGUAGCAUAUCGUAUCCGUUCCAUUUCAGAGCUCUAUCAAACCAUGAACUAGAGUAGUUUUGUGAAAUGUGCGGCUUUCUGUGGUCAAUUUAAUGCUCGUUUUUUAAGUUGCUAUAGUAGAAGGGAUGUGAUUGAUACACCCUGGGACAGCGUGGAUUCGUGCCGUGCGCGAAUUGCCAACGUUUUAGGCCCAUGGACGUCAAUCAAUCAUGCACCAGUGGGCCCCGCUCUUUAAUGAGCUACGCCGGCAACCACGGUACCAGGGGUUUGGAAAUUGGGAGCUCAUCAGCCCCCAUUCGGAGCUGAACCGUGCCAACCGUGAUGAAAAAUGAUCACCGCGUGCAGGUGUGACGUCGAAAUGAAAGGGAAUGCCAUAAAACCGGAGACCGAUGUAGAAGCAGCAAUAGCAAAAAAAACUGAUGGGCAAUCGACCCACACCGAAACAUCAAAGCCAAACUGUUGUGCUGUAAGCAAAGAUAAACCUCCCGCAAACAUGCUACGAGCCUUUCCCAUGUACUUCUGGCCUGGCCUGGGACACACUUCUUCAGCAAAAAGAUUAAACUUCUCAUCCUCUCCAGCGCCUGUAGCACAUCAGAAGAUUUUGCAAACGCUCCCAAACUCUCCUUCCGGGCCCAAAGACACCACUCAUCGAUAAGCGGUAAGGCUCGGGGCACCGUCAUUUGAGGAGGAAGCGACAUGAACCAAGGGCACAACCACUUCAGGGGAAAACCGAAAACAUUAUCCCAAGAUAACGACGAUUAUGGCCACCGGGCUCCACAACAUCCCCCGAUUCCCCCUUGGGGCAGGGUACCCGCAAACCAUAAAUCUUCACCGUAAUCGAUCAGAUCUUACUUAAUCGAUGGUUCUUACGGUUCGUCGCUCCGGUGUCCCUGGGAAGCCGGCAGGAGAGUUGUCCAGCGGGUCCAGCAAGUUGGAGCAAGGAGGAAGCGUGCUGCUGGGAUGAUUUGUGGUACCGGUAAAAUGGGGAAACUUUCUGCUCCAUUUUCUCGCACGCUUGCCCACAAUCUGUCAACUUAUUUCAAUUUUCUCUCGUGUGUUUUUCGAUCGAUCAGAAACGAUACUGUGAGGUUUGGAAUUGGUUCGGUAUUGAGAGAGUUGCAUAGUUUGCAUCGAGGAGAUUAAUAUCGAUGCCGUUGGCUGGUGGAGCUGUGCGCUGUGCGUGAAGUUUGUUUGCUGAGGUUAGAAUAUUUCUGCAUGACGACAGAGCCGUACCGUCGCUCGCUGGAAGAGGAAACGUUAAAUUCUGCCCUCUCAGAAGUUGAAGAUGCCCAAAACUACCCUUUCACAGAAAUUAGAUGCCCUUCCUUGAAAUUUACCUCCAAAACGCAACCUCGAGCAAAAGCACACUCAGCACAGAAAGUUUACAACUGACGUCACAUAAUGGUCCUCUAAAAUGGUCCUGAGUUUACCCCGAAGGAGCGUAAGCAAUUUUCCACUUUAAGAGCAUCCGGUGUCCUAGAAACGGGGCAAAAAUUUACCCAGAAUCUCCAAAACUCAUGACUUCACAUCAAAUCGACUCCAUCCGGUUUU